UGAUACAACUCCGCUUGUUAUAGAAAUCGUAUCUCCCCCAAUGGGGUAACCAGCAACAGUUACAGCAUCUUGAAGAGCAGGUAAUUCUCCAAAUUCCACUGGUGACACACCUUCCCAGAACUCAUUAUCGUUAACUGUAAGCAUUGCUGCUUCACCACAUAAACCAAAUCAUGCAUUCAACCAAAUAAAGAAUAAAAGCAAUUAUCUGAAAUCAUGAAGAUGACCUCCAGAAUGUCAAUUAUUUUCACAUCAUACUCUACUGACUAAUGUCUAAGCACUUCUUUCUUCAACGUUAGUUCACACUACACCAUGACUGGUUUGAACUUUCCUCUCCUUUUCUUGUACUAUAUAAGAAUUCUUCAUCAAUCCUUUUCUCAUUAACCAAGCAUAACCUCCAAAUCAAUUUACAUUAAGCACUCAGUAACCAUAAGUCAGUUUUCUACUUUGUACCCUGCAUAUGUUGCCAACACUGACAGAAUACUCGCAAUCUUAUCUGAAACAAUAAACUCUACCUCUCAAAAAUUAAGAAACAAAUAUAGAGUGAGAGAUAACAGUCCUUUACACCCCAAGUAACCUACUUAGCAAACAGUCAAUGUUACAAGCUUCACCGCUAUGGGCAAAAGAGACCAUUGCCACCCCUCUCCACUUGAAGAAAUUAGCAAUUUUCUUUCAACAGAAUGCAUGGCAAUUACUCUUUAGUUUUAGCAUGGCAAGAUAACUUGAGGGCAGUGAUACUAGUUAGCGAUAAUUCUAAUCAUUACAUUAUACACAGGGUAUUCAAUUUCAAUAUAUGAUUUGUGCGAUUAUUAUAAUUUUCUAUUAUGCCGACAGUCUAGCAGGCUGAGUUUGCAGAACAAGUUUGCAUGAUAAUGGGUGCUUGUAGGAAGUACCUAUAUUCUCCUGUGAAGUCACACGUGAGAUCGCGCAUGGGAUCCCAUAAAUAAAUACGUGUUAAGUCUAGAAUAGUAUUCGUGUCUAUAUGCAUGGAACCUAAUUAAUAUGUCAGGAGGUGCAUUGUCUUGCAAAGUCACACAUGAGAUCACACAUGGCACCUAUGCAUGAAACCUAGCUAGUAUGUAUAGACAUACACCACCAUCUAAAUAAAACACAGAAAAACACUCAACAAUAUGCAUUAUUAGAAAUUUAAUUGUAAGAACAGAACAUACCAAUAUCACAUUCGGUUCCAAUAGAAAGGACAGUAGCCAAGUACUUGGUAUCAGACCCACGUUUCUUAACUUUAACUUGAGUGUAAUGCUCGACUGAAUGCGCAUUUGUUAAAACCCUUCUCCCGCUGAUCACGAACCCACUACUGCUGGAACUAUACUGUCUUUUUCUCUGCCAAGGCAACGAGAAGUUGGGCUCGGUGUGAAUGCAAAACACCUUCACCACUGCAUCCAUUGCCGGUACCACUUGAGCACCAAUAGGAUCCACGGCCAACUCCAAUGGCGGUGCCGUUGGAAACACGGCGACAAGGCCAGAGGAUGGGGGGAAGAGGGCCGGGGCUAUGUUGAAAAUGGCCAACCAUGCUGCUAUUAUGUUUUUGUUAAAAUGUAUGGUACUAUGAUGAUUCUGUUGAAUGCAUACUGCUUGUAUGCAUGUUGCAGCAUUUGUGCAUGUUGCAGCAAAAUAUUUUCUGUUUUAGUUGCAAUGUAAUUUAGUUUGGUUGAGAAUGAACUUUGAUGUUGAUGUUUUGAUGGGUUGGUUGAGCUGAUAAGUCAGCUUAUCCAUGUGUACAAGCAAUGUUUUUAAAGUUACUAGGCUACUUAGUGGUAUUAGGUAGUAAUAACUGAUGUAGUUGGCUAUAAAUGUAUUGUUUUUAUUAUUGAAAAAUCAAGCAUAUCAGUUGUGAAACUUAGAUUGCUUCCUUGCUGCACGUUUGUGAGCAAGUAAAUUGUUUUUGUUUCUUCCUCCUUUGUUUUCUGUUUUGUUCUUUUUCUAAGAGCUGCUGCCAUUGUUCUUUCUUUUUCUUUUUUCUGCCUGUUAACCGAGGGCUUAUGCUCUUGAUGCUUUGUGUUUCUGCUUGCUGUUUGAAGAGCUUAUGCUCUUAGUGUUUCAUUGUUUGGUUGUUGCUGCCAAAUGUUCCAACAGGCUAUCGGGGAGUUUCUUAGUUCGACCAGGAGGGCGGGAAGUUAACUAUUUAUAGAAUCGUUUUAGGCGUAAAUCCAAAACUAUACAUAAUUAUAGUUUAAUAUGAGUUAUAGUCUUUUAAUUCAAUUCGGGUUUAAAUUAUAAGUUUAGUUUAGUUAGUGUAUGUAAAGAUUUCUUCAUUGAUAUUACGAGUUGGUUUUGUUAUGCAAGAUUUAUUUCUUGUAUUUCUCCUUCAAUUUGUCAAAAAUUAUUUAUCCAUUAAUUAAGUUUGAAGAGAUUUAUAUCUGAAAUGGUUUAAUUCAACAUUCAAUCAAGUUUUUACUUUAAAAAGCUUAUGUAUUUUGUUGUAAACCCCAAAAUUUUCACUUACAUUAAUUCUAAAAUAAAAAUAAAGAAAAUUAAAAUGAUAAAAUGGUUUUUCCAUGUAAGAACCUAGGUUUUUCCUCUUUAUUGAAAAAAAAAACUAAAACAAAUUCUAAAAAUAUAAAAUAAUUUAAAAUGAUAAAAUGAGUGAUCAAAAUGAAAACUUAUUAAAUUUGGGUGACUAAAAUGAGUAUACAAUAACAUUGCCUAACCCCCAAAUUAACAAGAAAAAUCAUUUGUUAACAACAGUGCCCUUAUUGCAAACUUUUAUUUUUCAAUGUCCAAAAUGAAAUUUUAUAAAAGUUUAGUGACCAAUUGUAUAAUUUACAUUUAACUUUUACACUCACGUUAAAAAAAAAGUGCUGUAUGUGUAAGUAAAUCUACGUUAGUUUCUUUGAUGAAUGGAUCAAGUAUAAUAUAUCAAAUCAUUUUAUAACUUUUAUAAAUUUUAAUAAUAUCAUAAAUCUAUAUUAUUUAUGAAGCUUUUACUAAGUUGGUGUCAUCCAUCAAUCACAUCUCAGCUCAAUUACGAAAAUUAUAGAAAUAUUCUUCCGUAAUUAAACCAAGUUAUAUUAUUUGAUAAUACUUUAAUCUUUUUAUUUUAACACGAACAAUAAAAAUAUAUAUGUGGUGAUAUUUGAGCCUACUCCAAUUAAAUUAAAAAAAUUAAAUUUAUCACCCAACCAAAACUUUAUUUUAAUUUUUUUUCAUACGUUUUUAUUUUAAUAUGCACAAAUUUAUUAUCCCCAUCAAUUGUAUAUCUAUACUAUUAAUAAAAGCUUUGAUUGUGUUGGUGUCACGGGUUAACUGGAUACCAACUCAGUUAGGAAAUGUCUAAAAUACCCUUUUAUUACAUGCUUACAAUUAUUAUUUUGAUGGCCUUUUUGUCUUGUCAUACUUUUAUAUAGUCUUUAAAUAAAAUAACUAAAAUUAACAUGCCUAUGGGCUAAACUUAUAUUUACUGGAUUUAUAAACAAAUUGUUUACCAUUGCGCCAAUAAUAAUUCUUAAGUAAACUUAAAAAAAUAAACUUUUAAUAUAAAAUAUUUUUUCUUGUGUAUCUAUACUAUUUAUUAGGUUUUUUACUGAGUUGAAUUCGCCCGUCAACGAGUCUCAACUCAAUUAGGAAAAUUAUGGAAAUAUUCUUUUGUAAUUAAAAUAAGAUAUUAUUUGAGGGUACUUUAGCCUUUUUAAUUUUAACAAAAACCAAUAAAAAUAUGCAUAUUGUGAGAUUUGAACCCACAUCAAUUGAAUUAGUAAAACAUUAAAUUUAUCAAUCAACCUAAGUUUCAGUUUCAUGUUUUUCAUACUUUUUUUUAUUUAAUGUGUACAACUUUUUAUCUCUGUCAGUUGUGUAUAAUAAUAUUGGUGUUAAUUGAGUUGAUGUCGCAAGUCAACUUAAUAUUAACUCAUAAUUAAUGACGACGUAAUGAUAAAUAAUUAUAAUGCAUUUAUUGUUACUAUGAUGUAUUUAUGUGUUUAAAUUUCGUUUUAUUCCCAAUUUAAUCUAAUUUCUAUUUUAAUAUCUUACAUAUUUUAUGCGUUAUUAUGAUUGAUUAGUUUCAAAUAUACGUUUCAUUGUUUAUUGUAUAUUAUUUUUAAACGUACACACACACAUAUAUAUAUAUAUAUAUAUAUAUAUAUUUAAAUUUGUAGUUUCUACAAGCAUUCACAUGUAUUAGGAUUUCUAGUAAAUAUAAUUUAUUUUCUAUUUUUUAUAUAUUUUCUUGUUAAGUACUUUAAUUGAUAAUUAUAAUGUAUUAAACUUUUAUUAAAUUAUAUAUAUAUGAUAUUUUAUAUUAAGUAUAUAUUAAAAUGCAAACUUGAAAUUAAUAAAUAUGAGUUUAUAAAUCAACAUGUGUAAAAAUAAUAAGGCAUAAUGCCAAAUUUAGCAUUCAACGUUUAUAUCUUUUGUCAAUUUUGCCCUUAUUCUUUUUUUUACCUAAAUUUGACCUUCAAACUUUUAAAAAAGAAACAAUUUGCUUUUUUUAAAUGGAAAUGCUGAUUAAUUUUUUUAACGAUGUUGGCAUGACAAUCCAUAUGGCAGUCCUCUUGUACUUCAUUCUGACAUGACACUAAUUUUCUUAUAUGUCAUGUCAAUAAAUAAUUUAAAAUUUAUAAAAUAUUAAAAAUAAAAAAAAUUAAAAUUCAAGAAAAUUUAUUAAAAGAUUAUAAAAAUUAAAAAGUAGUAUGAAAUAUAUGUAGAUAGUCAUGCGGACUUUCAUAUUUAAAAAUUUAACGUUUUAGUUAGUUUUUAUGUUAAAAAUAAAACAAUAAUUCAACUCUUUUGAAAAGAUUGAUGGUCAAAUUUAACUCUAUUUUUUAAAAGGUUGGGGGCCAAUUUAAUUAAAAAAUAAUAAGAGCCAACUUAUCAAAAUAUGUAAACAUUGUGGACUAAAUUUGACAUUAUGACAAAUAAUAAAUGCCCUUUCCAAAUUUAUCGAUAUGUUAAAAGGGAAAAUUUUGGUUCACCAGGUGUAGUUAAAAUAUCCUUUCAUUUUUUUUGUAUACGUCUUUUAAGUCCAUAAUUUAUAUAUAUAAGUCAAUUUAAAUUUAUUAUUAGAGUAAACUAUCACUCGACUAUUAAUAAAUUUAUACUUUGGUCACUCAAUUUCAAAAAUUUAUAAAUUGAUUACUAAACUGUUGUUGGUCACUAUCUCGUUUACCUGCUAACAUAUGUGAAAUGUAGGGAUAAGUAAACUAAUAGUAAGUUCACACUUUGAUCUUUUAAUUUCAAAAGGUUACAAGUUGGUCUUUGAACUAUUAAUAAGUUUACAAGUUAACACUUUGUUCACAGAAUCUUUGCACCAAUACCCCUAAUGUGAUAAUCCAAACAGUAUCAACAACUUAAGCCCCAAACACUAGCAAUGCCAUUGUCAGCCCUAUGUCACCUCUAACCAACUCAACAACCCUUCAUUCUUAAUUCACUCGCCAUUUCUCCUUCAAUAAAAACCAUAACCCUAAAAAACCAAUAAUUGAGUUAUUUGAACCACAAUCAAAACAAACAUAAAAAUGAAAAAAACAAAAAAAAAAGGAGAAGAAAGUCUCCUAUUUCAACAAGCCUCAAACGUUACCUAUAGAAGCAAAAUGACAGAAUAAAAUCAGAGGAAAGAGAAUCAAAAUAUCAACAAAAAAAAAGGAAACUAAAACUUACUAGAUCCAAUCAGGAGCUAGUUGGAGAGUUAUAGGGGAUGGAAGCUCAACCCAAAAGGUCAAGGAGAAAGUCUUGUUAAGAAAAGGAACAUAUUAGGGUCAAGCGACCAUGGACAGAGAUUGGAGAGUAUCUCUGUUAGGACUUCAGGUUUAAAUCAGUAGAGUUUCAAGUCAUUUCAAGAAAAAUUAAACCAUAAAGUUGAAAAAGGAGGGAGAAAGAUUUGGUUCAAUGCCUUUCUUUGUCAAAAGAGGAGAUCGAACAGUGGCAAAAUUAUUGGAAUACAACUAUGAUGGAGGUCCCUAAAACCCUAAAACCUUCGAAUAAUUUAGUGGCUAACUUAUAACUUAUUUUAAAUUGAGAGACCAAAGUGUAAAAUUACUAAUAGAUGAGUGACCUUGGACGUAGUUAACGACCAUAAGACAAUUGUUAGCAACUAAACGGCUCUAUGACUUAAACGGUAACUUUCGAAUAAUUCAAUAAUUAAUUUGUAACUUUUUAAAAUUAAGUGAUCCAAGUAUAAUUCUACUAAUGUUGAUAACCCUGGAUGUAGUUUACCUCAUUAUUAUUAUUGUUGUUAUGCCCUUAGGUUAAGUUUGUAUAUUUUAUAUAUGUGUAAUACAUAUUAUUUAACUGUCUAUUUUUAUAUUAAAGUUUUUUGAAAAGUGAUGAUUAUGUAAUCCCUCCAAAUUGAAUUUAUCUAUGAAUUAAUUUAAUUGUGAGAUUAAUUUAGUUGUUAAAGUCACUUCCUUAAAUCCCCAACAAGUGAAUGACCAGUAUAACAAACUUAUUUUAAUUAUAUUUUAUAAAAAAUAUUAAACUAAUUUAUAAUGUUAAAAUUUGAUAAUAUCACACCCAAAAUAAAAACGAAACACAUGAUAUAUCCAUUUUUAGUGACAUUUCGAUUGGUGUCUUCCUUCCAUAAUCGAAGUGUUUUAAUGACAUUUCGAAAGAUGCCGUUUUACAUGGACUUCACUUUGGUCGACCUUCGUAAAGUCCUCUUUUAUCUAAUUUCCCAAGUCCAACAUCGUCUCCAUCGCAUUGUGCUCAAUUCUUACUUUCUAAUGUUCUAAGAAAAUUUAUUUAGUAAAAUCCCGAGUCUUUGCUACUGGGUCAGACUUCCAUUGGGAGACGUGUCCUGCAAGCCUUUCGCUCAAUGAUUUUUAAUCAAACCCCACCUCUUGGCCUCGCGGCACAAGCUGUUCACCUAAAAACCUAAGUCACUGGUACGAAUUACAUGGGCAGCCUUGUUUGUAAUGUGUGAGUCAACUGUAAAAGUAUUUUUUUAAAAAGCUUCUUUUUUAAUCCCUCUAAAAAUGAGAUAUCAUUGUUUCUAUAGAUAGUCCAUAACAAGACGCUAUGAACGCUAGGCUAAAGAAGCUCCAUUCUACAAAAUGUAAUUACGUACCCCCCAAAAAAAAGGAGAAAAUAGAAAUGAAAGGUAAAAAAAAAUCAAUUAAUUAAGUCCCUGGUUUUCAUGCCUUGAGAUCAACAGACAUUGCUGAUGGUAUACAGUGGGUUGCAAGAAUGUCCGGAGUAGCUGCUUUUGCUGUCUUUGUUCUAAGCACUACUAUCUGCAUCAAACCACAAACAUCAAUGAAUGUCUAGUCGUGUCCUGCAACAAGAGCAUGAGUAGAAAACUACAUGCAUGAAGAGAGAGAGAGAGAGAACCUGUUCAUAUUCUAAGUCAAAUUUCAGAAACUCAUCAUCACAGUUCUCUACCAUCUCAGCCAAUCUCCUUAAAUUCUUCACUGGCUUACCAUUAAGAGCAACGACCUGUAUAGGAUGAGGUGUUCAUCAAUGAUAAAUAAAAGAACUGAACUACUGAAAUCUAACGUAGUUGCCAAUGACUGGUUAUUCUAACCUGAGUGUUAACAAUGUCCUCAUAUCCAAUAUUGAUAUCAGAUACAAGAACCUUCAAAAAAUUUCAAGAAAAUGUCAGAACAGAUCAGCAGAAUAUGCCCACUCUAGUAAGUAGGCAUGCAUAUGUGCAUGCAAACACACACAGGAGAAGAUUGAAAGAACCUGAGACACCACAACAAGCUGUUCAUCGGGUGACUGCAGCAUUGAAUGCAAGAGUUUGUCCAAUAGCUUCACUGGAGCUUCAUAUUCAUAAUCCUUCCCAUACUGAGCAAAAUUAACAAAUACAGCAUAGUUAAUUUGGAAACUCCACAGAUAAGCAAUUUUGUCACUAACUUUUGAAAAAUCAAAUUGACUACUACCAUGUAGUUGAUAAAAAUUCAAAGCUCUACACUUUUUAUGAUCUAAAUAAUCAUAAAAUCUCACUAUAAAAAGAAAAGACUUGAUAGAAACAUAAAAGUUGUACUUGAAAUCACAACUAUAUCAUUUAUCUUCAGAUCCAUUUAUUGCAUAAUUUGAAAAUAAUUGUCUAGGGAUGCACGCAACUGGAAAACUAGUACAGUUAGAACGUGGUAAAAGAAAAAGGUGUCGCUCAACAAUUACACAAAUUCCGGUUACAGAUCCUAAAAAUGAAAAAAGAUGAUGUAGCAACUGAUCCAAUUAAGAACAUUCUCUAUACCAAGAAAAUUGCAGCACAGAGCACUUAUUUACAGCACAGACAAAUUUAGCUUCAGCGGGAACAAUAAUUUAGGAAAUCCUUUGGUGACCACACCUGGACACCAAAGAAUUUAAACAUUAUCGGGAAAUGUGAAAUUGUUGCAGAAAUCACACAUCUAGAAUGACGUAAACCCCCAAUAUCAAGAAGGGUCUAGAAAUGUUUAGUUACGCUAUUAAAAGGUGCAGAAACGAUAAAUUUGCAGAUUUUAAGAGAAUAUUCAAUCUGCUAUGGAAGUAAACUAGCAGAACCCAAUUCACAUUGCAGACUGCUCAGCACUUCGAAAAGCAAAAUCCAACAGAAACAUUUCAAACAUGCCCAUGCUUUGUUGACCUUUGACACAAAAAUCGAAAUUACAGAAAAUGUACAAUCAUACGAGCUAUAGAUAGUGCAACAAAAAAAAACAAUAUAUUCAUAUUUUCUACUUUUUGAGAAUGCCCAAAGAGGAACACAAAAAUAACAUAAAAAUAUCAAUCUUUCAUUUUAUAGCAUCUAAACUAGCUAAGUCUUUAACAGGCAUUAUUUUAUUAUUAUUGUAACAGGCAAUAUAUUUUGAAGUAAACAACAUACCUCAGAACGUAAAUAUGGAACAGAUACAGUUGUAAACACAAAUCCUGCAAUUAUAUAAUAUGAAGGAGGUCUGCCCUUGUUGUGUGCUGGAAUAAGCCUUCUGUGUGAUGUAAGUUUGAUGUUGAAAUUUAGAAUCUCAGAAUUACGUAGAACUUUAAUAGCUGAACUAUCCCCAGCAUAUUUUUGUGACACUAGGUAACUAAAACCUAUGCGUUCUCCAUGCCUAAAAGGAACUGAGAAAACAUUGAGAACAAUAUCAGAAAAAAUGUGUAGAAGGAUUGAACAGAUUAGAAAAGAGAAUACAUGAACAGUUCUCAGUUUUCCUGAUAAAAAUCUUGAUAGGAUUGUUAGCUAUCUGUUCUCAAGAUAAUAGUGUUCUAUGUAUUACCACUUUUGACAUAACUAACUACUUCCAUUAGGAUAUUUAUUCAAGUACUUAAUCAAGUUCAUAGUUGUGAAGAUAGCAGCAGUUAGCCGUACAUAGAUUCAUAAUCAAGUUAAUCCAUGAAUUCACCUAAAAGGCAUCCUCAGAAAAGUUCUCCUUUCAAUGCCACCCUCACUAUUGUUGGGAUAGAGCAGUUUAACUUUUAAUUUUAUAAAGCUCUACAAACACAAAUGUGAAGCAAUGAUUAACAUAUUACAGGUAUUUUCCAGGGAACAUACAUGGUUAUUUAGUUCAAAGUAGUAGUAACCAGUUAAUUUUUACGAGUAGGAGGAAAUGCUCUUAUGAUAGAGUGAAAGUUGGGUCUUAUGACAAGAAGGAUUUGCUCUUAUAAUAGACAACGUAUGAAGUUUGUGCAUAAUAAUUUCAAUUGGAAAAACCAUGGAAUAUGCAAAUAGAUUUCUCUGAAGGCUAAAUAGUGUACAAGUUUGUGUGCGCAAAUAUUUAUUUAUUGUAUACAAAAAGAACAACUUACCCGUUCCAUCAUUGGCAAUAUCAACCCCAUCAAAGCUGAGCACAAUAUCUGAUGACUUCAAAACCCCAGAUUCUGGAGCUGUGGGAUCAACUCUUCUGAUUCGAACACCUUUCUGUUCAGGUUUCAUGCCCAUUGCUUUACGCAAAUCUGGGUUUUCCAUUUUUUGCCACUCAAUCCCCAAAAUAGGGAACCCUAGCAUAAAAGUGCGACCAUGAAACUUUAAUCACAAUGAAGCAAAUAGUACAUGCAUCACACAAUUAAAAAAAAGAAGAAGAAAUGAACAGUACGUAUAAAAAAUUUAUUUAAAAGACCCAAACUAAAUUACCAGUAUAGGCUUCAUUCUUCUCAUAGUCUUGGAUAANNNNNNNNNNNNNNNNNNNNNNNNNNNNNNNNNNNNNNNNNNNNNNNNNNNNNNNNNNNNNNNNNNNNNNNNNNNNNNNNNNNNNAUUGCCUUUAUCAUUGAAGGCAGGCCCACCAGAGUUCCCAGAGUUUAUAGCAGCAUCUAUCUGCAAAUAAUCAUGCAGAAUACAUAAUAUAUGAAAUCUUUUACGGUUGCAACACAGAGAAACAAAUGCUAGAAAGGAAAUCAUGUAACCUGCAAGCCAAGGAGCUCUGUUGACCCGUGAACAUAAGACAAGAUUUCUAUCCGUGAUACAACUCCGCUUGUUACAGAAAUCGUAUCUCCCCCAAUGGGGUAACCAACAACAGUUACAGCAUCUUGAAGAGCAGGUAAUUCUCCAAAUUCCACUGGUGACACACCUUCCCAGAACUCAUCAUCGUUAACUGUAAGCAUUGCUGCUUCACCACAUAAACCAAAUCAUGCAUUCAACCAAAUAAAGAAUAAAAGCAAUUAUCUGAAAUCAUGAAGAUGACCUCCAGAAUGUCAAUUAUUUUCACAUCAUACUCUACUGACUAAUGUCUAAGCACUUCUUUCUUCAACGUUAGUUCACACUACACC
rnacentral:lncRNA from 1 species